UAAUGGCCUACCAAGGCGACGAUCAGUAGUUGGUCUGAGAGGACGACCAGCCACACUGGGACUGAGACACGGCCCAGACUCCUACGGGAGGCAGCAGUGGGGAAUUUUGGACAAUGGGCGCAAGCCUGAUCCAGCAAUGCCGCGUGAGUGAAGAAGGCCUUCGGGUUGUAAAGCUCUUUCAGUCGAGAAGAAAGGGCUGCAGUGAAUAACUGUAGUUUAUGACGGUAUCGACAGAAGAAGCACCGGCUAACUACGUGCCAGCAGCCGCGGUAAUACGUAGGGUGCGAGCGUUAAUCGGAAUUACUGGGCGUAAAGGGUGCGCAGGCGGUUUUGUAAGUCAGAUGUGAAAUCCCCGGGCUUAACCUGGGAAUUGCGUUUGAAACUAC
rnacentral:rRNA from 1 species